GGCUACCUGGCGCAAUGGUAGCGCGUUUGGCUUCGAUCGCCACACGGCUACAAUAUGGCACCAAAAGGUUGCAGGUUCGAGUCCUGCGGUGGUCA